rnacentral:rRNA from 1 species
GCUGGUUAUUCAGGAAAAGGAUCUAAGUCCAAUUUUAAUCCUCCGCAUAAUACAAAAUACCCCCGCAGGCUUAAAAUUCACUCAAAUAAGGUACAGCCUAUUUGAGACAGGAAACAACCUAUAACAUAGGGUAAUGCCUAAACCAACGUGACCAAGUGGGCCCAAAAGCAGCCAUCUUUAAAAAAGCGUUAAAGCUUUACCACGCCUAACUAUUAAUCCCAACCUAACCCCAAAACCUCUCACCUAUACUGAAUGACUCUAUACUUCUAUAGAAGCCCUCAUGCUAGAACUAGUAACAAGAAUCCCCAUUCUCCUACAAAUGUAAGUGUAAGCCAAAAUGGACCCCCCGCCGGCACUUACCGCCAAUGAACCUACAGUAAUAACCUACAAGAAAACCCUACUUAAUACAGCGUUAACCUUACACAAGAACUUUUCUGGAAAGAUUAAAAAAAGAGGAAGGAACUCGGCAAACAUUAACCCCGCCUG